rnacentral:rRNA from 1 species
ACAGCAGCAGCCGCGGUAAUACGGAGGGUGCAAGCGUUAAUCGGAAUUACUGGGCGUAAAGCGCACGCAGGCGGUCUGACAAGUCAGAUGUGAAAUCCCCGGGCUUAACCUGGGAACUGCAUUUGAAACUGUCAGGCUGGAGUCUUGUAGAGGGGGGUGGAAUUCCAGGUGUAGCGGUGAAAUGCGUAGAGAUCUGGAGGAAUACCGGUGGCGAAGGCGGCCCCCUGGACAAAGACUGACGCUCAGGUGCGAAAGCGUGGGGAGCAAACAGGAUUAGAUACCCGCGUAGUCCCUGUCUCUUAUAA